ACUCUGCGCGCCCUCGGCUGCGGGGUAGCGGGCAGCCCUGCGCUGCCGGCCGCCUAGCCUGCACCCCCCGCCCUGGGAGGGAAGCCUCGCUCCAGCCGCGUCGUUUCCGCGCCGAAGUGCGAUCCGGGGCCCCGCGCUGGAGUCCCCUGCUCUCAGGCUGGUCUGGAAGGUGGUGGUGGGGUUCAGGGUCCCCGGAAAGCUGGGGUUCCAGGGUAAACACCAGUACACAAACAAAGCGGUGGGGGAGGGGAAAGAAAAAGUUUUUCCGUUUGGUGUUGGGGCUAAAAGGGUCAUGUCAGAAAGCAGUGUGCUCUAUGUGUUCUUAAUGCCUAAAGUGGGCCUUAAAACAAGGGUCCCUGUCCCCACGUUCUCUCUAAAAGUCUGCAUGAUGUCCCUCGUCAUUUCUACGGGUUAUAAGUGAGCAAGACGUUUACCACGUAUCACACUUCUGGGGGCUAUUUCAACGCCCAAGCUGGGGCUGCAGAAUGGUUUCUGUUCUAAUCCUCCCCCGCGAUUUCCACCUCUUUACACUCAACUCACAGAAAAUAGAGUCUGAUGCAUUCUGUGUUUCAUCACCGGUCAAAAGUGACUUUGAGGGUAGGGUGGAGGCCUGAGAAGGGCAGCUUCAGGCAAUAGUAAUCCUGAAAUUUAUCAUUGCUCAAAAUAAAUGUGCUCACCUUAUUAAAAAGUACAACGGAAAGCCACCUUUAAGAUAAGUAGCAACCAAGUCGUUAAACAGCAGUCUUCAAGGAAGAACUCCUGAUCUCAUAAGGCUGGAGAAAAAACGGGGUUAGCCUUUGCUGGUGAAAAAAAAAAAAAAAGACAUUCGAAACUGCAGUGAAGGGCUUUCAUAACAGAAACAUUAGCUUCAUUGUAGCUUGUCGUGGAAAACAGGGACCUUUUAAUAGGUGGUUCAAAAGCAUCAGUUAGGGCUCAACAAUUUUCCUUUUUUCCCCAAAUACUGCUUCUCCUAGCACAUUGGCCAGAUAAAACCUCCCCCCUUUCAAUGCUUCAUCUUUUUAUGAAAACACAGGAAACCAUAAACUUGAGUGAAGGCUUUGUUCAGAAAGGUGGAUGUAAGACUGAUGGAAAAUGACAUUUGGGAAAUGAUCCCCAGGUCUGUGUUAAUCUCUCAUGGAAAGCCACAGACUCACCCAAAGAUAGGCGUAUGAAGAUCGAAGCUCUCCUAGCAACAUGAAAUCCUCCACGUUGCAGCUGCUACGCCCUAGUUCUGAUUUUUACUAAGACAUUAAUGGCACAUUAUAAAUACAAAAUGUGCAAUGCAAGAAAAAUAAUACUGCUUUGAGAAAUAACUGCAUCAUUAGACUCAAUAAUUAAAGUUCCCUGAAAUUCUUCUUACAUCACGCUAUUGUGGGGAGAUGGUGAAGGGAUUGCCCAUUUCAAUUUUGGAAUAAAUAGAAGUAAUUCCUUAGUGCAUUCUGCUUAAGGCAACCAAUGAGAGAAUAUGUUAGCCAGGCUUCUAAAGGCAAUCAUGUGAUACUCCAUAUUUGCUAAAACAAGAGCUGAAUAUUUUUUUUGUUCCAUAUGCAAUUCCAAAUUUUCAGUCACAAUUUCAUGAAUAUUCAGUAUUUCUGCAUGCCCAGGAGUAAUUAGCAGACAGUGUAAAUGUGUGAAGGCCUGACACUUACACAUACAUUGCUUUUUUCUCUAUGUAAGGUGGCAGUUGCUGGAGUACCAGGGCACCAAGUGGAGGAUGUGGUAGACAGCCUCUAAGAUGCGCCCCCUGCCAAUGAUCUCUGCCUCCAGGGAGGAGCUAGAAGGCAGAGAGAAAGCCACUCAGGACUUCCCAUCCCAGAAGAUAAAGGUGAGGAAAGCAGCAGCAGCAGCCACAGGCCAGUAUUCCAGAGCAGCUUUGGGUUCCUGUCAAGACCUGCUUUGAGAAGGAGGUGGCUGUGGGGCUGGAGGGCUGGGCCUGUUCCUGAGCUGGCUGCUGGCAGCACAGCAAUGAGGCAACAUUGAGAACUGCGACACGAGGCCCAGUCCUGCUACUAAACCAACUGUGUGGACUUGCAUAGUCACUUCACCCCUCGGGCCUCCAUUUCUCCACUUUGGAAAGCAGUGUUGGGACGAUGUUAAGGGUUUGCAACCUUCCAACAUGAAGACUUAUUUUUAAAAGCAAAACAUUUCAAAGAGUCCACAUGACAGUAGUGUUCAUUUUGGCAUCUGUUGAUUUAACAAAUACAAAAUUAGGCUGGGUGUAGUUGCUAACGCCUGUAAUUCCAGCACUUUGGGAGACCGAGGCAGGAGGAUCACCUGAAAUCAGGAGUUCGAGACCAGCCUGGCCAACAUGGUGGAACUCCAUCACUACCAAAAAUACAAAAAUUAGCUGGGCUUGGUGGCACGUGCCUGUAAUCCCAGCUACUCGGGAGGCUGAGGCAGGAGAAUCAUUUGAACCCGGGAGGCAGAGGUUGCAGUGACCUGAGAUUGCACCACUGUACUCCAGCCUGGGCAACAGGGCAAGACUCCAUUAAAAAAAAAAAUACAAAAUUAGGCAUGGUGGUGUUCGUCUGUAGUCCCAUCUAUUUGAGAGGUUAAGGCGGGAGGAUCACUUGAGCUCAGGAGUUUGAGUUUGCAGUGAGCUGUGGUCUGCCUGUGAAUAGCUGCUGCAGUACAGCUUGGGCAACAUAGUGAGAUUCCAUCUCUAGUCUUUAAAAAAAGGAAAAAUACGGCCGGGCGCGGUGGCUCACACUUGUAAUCCUAGCACUUUGGGAGGUCGAGGAGAGAGGAUCACCUGAGGUCAGGAGUUCGAGACCAGCUUGGCCAACAUGGCGAAACCCAUCUCUACUAAAAAUACAAAAAUUAGCUGGGUGUGGUGGCGCACGCCUGUAAUCCUAGCUACUCAGGAGGCUGAGGCAGGAGAAUUGCUUGAACCAGGAGGGAGAGGUUGCAGUGAGCCAAGAUCGUACCACUGCGCUCCAGCUUGGGCAACAUAGAGAGAUCCCAUCUCUAUUUUUUUAAAAAGGAAAAAUACAAGGGAUACCAGAGCACUGGGCCAGUGCUUGUUAUAAAGUCCAUCAAUGGGCCAGGCACGGAGGCUCACACCUGUAAUCCCAACACUUUGGGAAGCCGAAGUGGGUGAAUCAUGAGGUCAGGAGUUCGAGAUCAGUCUGGCCAACAUGGUGAAACCCUGUCUCUACUAAAACUUGGUAGUUUUUUGUAAAAUUAGCUGGGCGUAGUUGUGGGCGCCUGUAAUCCCAGCUACUUGGGAGGCUGAGGCAGGAGAAUCCUUUGAACCCCGGAGGCAGAGGUUUCAGUGAGCCGAGAUCACGCCACUGCACUCCAGCCUGAGUGAAGAGCGAAACUCCGUUUCAAAAAAAUAAAAUAAAAUAAAAAAUAAAAAAAUAAAGUCCAUCAAUGAUGCCAAUAUUAUGGAACAAAAUUUAAAAGCAGGGUGAUGAGUAAUGUUUGUUACUUUUUGGCUACUCAGUUUUGGAGUCCCUUCCCAGGUUUGUGGAAGAUGCCAUCUUAGGAGUCUUCGUGGAAGCUGGAGCCUGUUGCUUAGCCGUCAACAUAGAGGCUGAAAAUGCCAGAUGCUUCUCAGCCUCCUUUAGCUGCAGGGUUUAGUCAUGUGAUCUGGGCUGGGCCCAUCAGGUGCCAUGGACUGAGGAGCCUGGACCAAGCCAGAGCCCAACACAGAACCUUUUCUGGUGGAAGUGGCCAUGGCUACUGCAGCCUUGUCUAGAUUCCAGGGCAACAGCAGCAGGGUCAUGGUUCAGACCCCAGCCAUGGUUGUGGCACAGCUGCCCAGGGCUCUGAGAACAGAGCAGGACUCUCUGGAUAGCUUGUGCACCACAGUUCUGGCCAUGCUCCUGGCUGCUGUCUGGCACCGUUUGUUCUCAUUCAUGCCCUGAACCUGGCUCUUCAGCCUUCCCAGAGACUCUGUGGGCUGCCCAGCAUCCUUCCCAAAAAUCCCUCUUCUGUUUUAAAUUAUCCAGAGCCAGUUUCUGUUGCAUUUUUAAGUCAGAGUUCUGACCAAUUCACAGUCUUAUUUCAGUCUCCGCAUCCAACUUAUUUUUGUAUUUUGCUUUGGUACACACGGUUCUGAGAAAAUUCUAAUCAUACAGAUGGAUGGUUAUAAAUAAUAAUGAUAACAACUAUUACUGGCUGGGCACGGUGCCUCCUGCCUGUCAUCCCAGCACUUUGGGAGGCUAGGGCAGGAGGAUCACUUGAACCCAGGAGUUCAAGACCAGCCUGUGCAACAUAGUGAGACCCCAUCCCUACAAAAAAAAUUUAAAAAAUAGCCAGGCAUGGUGGUGCGGGUCUGUAGUUCCAGCUACUUGGGAGACUGAGGUGGGAGGAUUGCUUGAGCCCAGGAAGUUGAGACUGUAGUGAGCCAUGAUCGCACCACUGCACUCUAACCUGAGUGACAAAGCGAGACACAACAAUGACAGCCACAAAAAAACUAUUACAUAGCACUCACUAUAUGCCAGGCCCUGUCUUAACCACUUUGCAUUUAUUAAUUCACUUAACAAACCUUUUGAAGGGAGUCUAUCAUUAACAUCCCCCUUUCGUAAAUGAGAAAACUGAAGGACAGAGGAGUGAUUUGUCCGAGGUCAAGGACUUAAAUCUAGGCAGUCCCAAUCCAGGAUUUGUGCUCUUAACUCCUGCUAAAGGAUUUUUUUUCAGAUUAUCUUUUGAGAUUAGAAUGUCUUCGAUUAAACCAAUCUAGAGGCCGGGCGCAGUGGCUCAUGCCUGUAAUCCCAGCACUUUGGGAGGCCGAGGCAGGCGGAUCACAAGGUCAGGAGUUCAAGACCAGCCUGGCCAACAUGGUGAAACCCCAUCUCUACUAAAAAUACAAAAAAAUCAGCCAGGUGUGGUCGCGCAUGCCUGUAAUCCCAGCUACUUGGGAGACUGAGGCAGGAGAAUCGCUUGAACCCAGGAGGCGGAGGUUGCAGUGAGCCGAGACCGCGCCACUACACUCCAGUCUGGCAACAGAGUGAGACUCCGUCUCAAAAAAAAAAAAAAAAAAAAACCAAUCUAGAAGCUAGAAAGAGAAGUAGUAGAAGUAUUUGUUUCAAAGUUGAGGCCGGGCGCGGUGGCUUACGCCUGUAAUCCCAGCACUUUGGGAGGCGGAGGCGGGCAGAUCAUGAGGUCAGGAGAUCGAGACCACGGUGAAACUCCGUCUCUACUAAAAAUACAAAAAAUUAGCCGGGCACAGUGGCAGACGCCUGUAGUCCCAGCUACUCAGGAGGCUGAGGCAGGAGAAUGGCAUGAACCCCGGAGGCGGAGCUUGCAGUGAGCCCAGAUCAUGCCACUGCACUCCAGCCUGGGUGACAGAGCGAGACUCUGUCUCAAAAAAAAAAAAAAAAAAAAACGGAGUAAUUAUCAAAAUAUCGAACAACUGCUUUUCGUCAUCAUAAACAUAAAAAUCAGGCAAUAAACAACUGAAACUUAUGACAAAUAUUAAACAAACAAGACAAUUUCAUCACUCUGCCGGUGGUGUUCCCUGUUAUAGGCCUGGUGGUUUAUGGAGCCUGGUACACCCAACUGCAGGAAGCUCUCGGCUCUUCAUUGCUUUGCUCUUCACAAGCAGACGUGCCCAGGCUGGCACAACACUGCAACAUCCGCUUGACACACCCAUCUCGGUGCCAGCUGGGCUUAGAGAUGCUGGGAGGAGCUUGUGCCAAAGUCUGCACAAAAUUGAGUUUAGAAAAAAUUACUGCCGGGCGCGGUGGCUCACGCCUGUAAUCCCAGCACUUUGGGAGGCUGAGGCGGGCAGAUCACCUGAGGUUGGGAAUUCGGGACCAGCCUGACCAACAUGGAGAAACCCUGUCUCUACUAAAAAUACAAAAUUAGCCGGGCAUGGUGGCACGUGCCUGUAAUCCCGGCUACUUGGGAAGCUGAGGCAGGAGACUUGCUUGAACCUGGGAGGCGGAGGUUGUGGUGAGCCAAAAUCACGCCAUUGCACUCCAGCCUGGGCAACAAGAGUGAAACUCCGUCUAAAAAAAUACUACACAGAUGGGGGUAUGUCAGAGAGGCACAGGAGUCAACUGUGUCCCAGUGGCCAAAGUUGGAACAAUGUCACCAACAAAAUAAAGUAGUAUUGGAUUACAACCCAAAGUGUAGAAAAAUAUCUGUGAAUCCGUACUUACAUACUUUUUAAUUUAGAAAAGAAUAAAUGAUCCAUAAACCACCAGGCUGGGUGCAGUGGCUCACACCUGUAAUCCCAGCACUUUGGGAGGCCAAGGUGGGCGGAUCAUUGAGGUCAGGAGUUCAAGACCAGCCUGGCCAACAUGGUGAAACCCCCAUCUCUACUAAAAAUACAAAAAUUAGCCAGGUGGGGUGGCAGGUGCCUGUAAUCCCAGCUACCUGGGAGGCUGAGGCAGGAGAAUUGCUUGAACCAGGGAGGCGGAGGUUGCAGUGAGCUGAGAUUGUGCCAUUGUACUCCAGCCUGGGUGAUAAGAGUGAGACUCCAUCUCAAAAAAAAAAAAGAAAGAAAGAAUAAAAACAAACACUAUUUCAGCUAGGUGAUCAAGGUCAACAUCAGCACUCAUAAAUCAUGUUGAUAGUACAUACCCUUGAUAUGAUAUCAUGAAAGUGACACCUUUAUCUCUGUGAUCUUCCUUCCCAAGUCUCUUAACUCCAGUCUACUUGUGAGAAAACCAUUAGAUAAAUCUCACUAGAGGGCCAUCCUACAAAAUUCUCUGCUAGUACUCUUCAAAACUCAGAAGGUCAUCAAAAACAAGGAAAGUCUGAAAAAUUGUCACAACCAAGAGAAGCCUAAGGAGAUACGACAGCAAAAUGUAAGGUAUUAUCUUAAACAGGAUCUGGGGACAGAAAAAGGCCUUUAGGUAAAAACUAAGGAAAUAUGAAUAAAUUAUGGACUUUAGUUAAUAAUGUGUCAACCUGGUCUAUCAAUUGUGACAAAUGUACACUAUCAAUUUAAGAUGUUAAUAAUAGGAGAAAUUGGCUGCUGGAAAGGAGAAGGUAACAUGGGAACUCUAUAUAAUUUGCUCAAUGUUUCUGCAAAUCUACAAUUUUUCUUUCCUUUUUUCUUUUUUUCUUUUUUUUUUUUUUGAGAUGGAGUCUCGCUCUGUCACCCAGGCUAGAGUGCAGUGGCAUGAUUUAGGCUCACUGCACCCUCCACCUCCCUGGUUCAAGCGAUUCUCCUGCCUCAGCCUCCUGAGUAGCUGGAAUUACAAGCGUGUGCCAUCAUGCCUGGCUAAUUUUUUGUAUUUUUAGUAGAGACGGGGUUUCACCGUGUUAGCCAGGAUGGUCUUGAUCUCCUGACCUCGUGAUCCACCCGCCCCAGCCUCCCAAAGUGCUGAGAUUACAGGUGUGAGCCACCGUGCCCGGCCUAAAAUUUUUCUAAAAUAUAAAAUCUAUUAAUAAAAAAAAAAUUGGCUGCCCUCUUAAGAAAUUAGUUUACCUGGUGAUGCAACUUAGAUCACCAAGGUCUUGACAUGAUAAAAGUAAGUAUUUAACGCAUUUAUAUUGUUAUGGACUAAACUUUUUCAUAUACAUUUUUAGAGACAGAGUCUUGCUAUGACACCCAGGUUGGAUAGAGUGCAGUGGCUAUUCACAGGUACGAUCACAGUGUAUUAAAACCCCGAACUCCUGGGCUCAAGUGAUCCUCCCACCUCAGCCUCCCAAGUAGCUAAGACUAUAGGCACAUGGCACCAUACUUGGCUAAUUUUUCAAUUUUUUUUGUAGAGACAAGGUCUCGCUAUGUUGCCCAGGCUGGUCUUGAACUCAAGCUAUCCUCCCGCCUCAGCCUGCCAAAGUGCUGGGAUUACAGGUGUGAGCCACCAAACCUGUCCCCUAAACGUUUUAAUAGCUGUUUUAAAACGUAUUUAAAUAGGGCCAGACGUGGUGGCUCACGUCUGUAAUCUCAGCACUUUGGGAGGCCGAGGCAGGAGGAUUGCUUGAGCCCAGGAGUUUGAGAGCAGCCUGAAUAACAUGGCAAAAGCCCAUAUUUAAGGAAUAAAAAAAUACAAAAAAAAUUAGCUGGGCAUGGUGGCAUGCGCCCAUAGUCUCAGCUACUCUGGAGGCUGAGAUGGGACCUAGGGGAGGUCAAGGCUGCAAUGAGCCAAGAUCAUGCCACUGCACUCCAGCCUGGCUGACAGAGUGAGACCCUGUCUCAGACAAAAAAAAAAAAAAAGAAAAGAAAAAAGAAAAAAAAUUAAAUAUAAUUGUAAUGAGAUUCUAAUCUUUCCAUUGGCACUGCUGAAUGACCUCAGAGUAGCUGAGCACAGUUUGAAAUCCACUGAUCCGCCCUGAUGGAAGGGAAAGAAAAGGUCCUUAGUCUUCGUCUCUAAAACUCUCUGGAUCUCUAAGGUGGAGGAAAAACUCCAUAUGUCAAGGCAAAGCACCUAAAAUCAACUCAAUGAUUUCCCCGUCCCUCCCACCACCACCCAAGACACUGUAUGAGCAACUGUUUGAAGCCAAGGCUGCAGUUGUCUUUGUCCUGCAUCUGCCUGUCAAGCCCAGCGCUCCCCAGCCGCGGGAAGGGCAGAAAGCUGGAAUUAAGUGGGGCAACAGAUGGUUGGGACAUGGCCUCUGGAUGCUCAGCUGCACUGUCCAGCCUGCCAAGCUGUGUACAUUUCAAACGUUUGGGGUUCAACCAAAGGAGACGAAUAAUGAUUUUAAAUUACUUGCUGAAACACAUGGUUAAUCCCUGGGUAGCCAGAGAAGAGUGCUUUAAAACCCUACUUAAAUCUAGUGGGGGAGCAAGGAAACCCCGUGUGCUUUCUCGCCUUUGAACCCAAAUCAGGCCACCCUACAUGGAGCUGGGCAUUUGUUCAGGAUCCCAGUGUGUGUCCUGCUUUCUAUGCUUUUCAAAAGGGUCAGGUGUUUCUGUCUGUGUGUUGAUUUGGGGUGACAGUGGGGAGAGGAUAGUCUGUUUGGCAGGUAGGUUUGGAUCCCGAGAAACGAUGUACCCUGGCAUUUGCCUCCUGGCCUGGAAUUGGGGGACUCCAAGGUCAACCUGCUUCAUAAAUUCCAUUAGCUGUUUUUC
rnacentral:lncRNA from 1 species